rnacentral:rRNA from 1 species
UACGGAGGGUGCGAGCGUUGUCCGGAAUCACUGGGCGUAAAGGGCGCGUAGGCGGCGCGGGAAGUCAUCGGUGAAAGUUCAGGGCUCAGCUCUGAAUCGGCCGGUGAUACUCUCGUGCUUGAGCACUGUAGAGGCAGGUGGAAUUCCGGGUGUAGCGGUGGAAUGCGUAGAGAUCCGGAAGAACACCGGUGGCGAAGGCGGGUCUCUGGACGAGUUCCUGACACUGAGGCACGAAGGCCAGGGGAGCAAACGGG